rnacentral:lncRNA from 1 species
UUGGAAAAUGUCAGAAUUUAUUGUCUUCAGAUGCAAACAAAUAAAACCAAACGUACCAUUGGUGUCACUGCCCAGUUUAACCCAACAUGCCACUUUCCUAAACAAGAAGAAGUCAACAUUACAAAGACAAUACUUGUGUUAGGCUGACUGACAUUACAGAAGGAUGAUCUUCAAUGAAGACAAUUUACAAGUUAUGAACAGGUACAAGUCAAAAUGUAGAAUUCAUCUAAGGUUUGUAAUAAUUUUCCACAUUUGCUAGAAGAGCAUUCAUGACAUUAUUAGUGUGGUGUGAGCUUUACAACAGCAAAAAAAAAAGCUACAUUCAACAUUUUAGUUUGAGCGCAAAUGACAAAAUACUGAUGAGUGCAUAUUAUAUUAUCGUCAUGUUGGAAGAUUUCCAAGAGUAAAGUUUUUAAUUGAAUGUGUAUCAUGUCAAUAAUGUUGUUAGUGUUUUACAUAGCAAAACAAUCCAGUGACACUGUUAUGUAAGUGCCCAGACUGAAGCAGAUGAUGUAUACAGACACAGAUGUGAAAACAAACAAAUAAACAAACUAAAAUGUGUACAACCAUGAUAAUGUGCAAGUCUGCCGAAAUCCACAAAAAUGACAUUGGCUAUGGACUAAACCUCAUGUAAAAAUAUUUUUUCAAAGCAUCUGCCAAGUGUUUUCCCACAUUGUUUGACCUAUAUCACAUAUUAACACAGACAAUGGAAAUAGAACAUAUGUAUGAUGGUUCAUGCUUUGGUGGGGAACACUUAGCUGCCUCACUAUGCAUCUAUUCCACAGUUACGGCAAGACCCCCUCCCUGGUUCUUCUUGCCAAGCUGGGUGUCUCUACCCAUAUCCAACAACAAUCCAACUGCAUUCAAUGCAGUUUCUUCAUGUUGACAAUGACCAUGCGCUAAAUCUAGGAGGGAACCAGGAGCAGGGAGGUAGAAAAAUACUACUGAUUCUCAUUAUUUUAUAGGAGUGUCUCAAACAUACAGCUCCCAUCAUUUUAUAUCUGGAGAGAACAAUCCAUUAUGUGCUGUUCCUCAUAUGCUUUCACUGUUUCAGGUCUGCAUCUGUCCAGAGGGAUCCACUCUGUGGAAAGAGAACAAUGGAGACUUUAUUCAUGAAAGUGUCAAGAACUCAACUUGAUCAUGCCCAUUCUCUUGCCAGUAUUGGUAAACAUAUUCUUGUGAUGUGCUACAUGUGAUAAAAUGCCUGGUCCUGGUAGAAGAUGCAUAGGAACAGCCACACACUUAUGGUCUCCACCCAGAAGAUGACAAAAAGGAACCACAGUGAGGAGACUAGCAGCUCACACACCAUCCUGGGGCUUCUACAAUGAGAAAUAACAGAGAGAGGAGAGUUAAACCAUAGGGGAACAUAACACUACAGUCCUCUGCAUACCAAUAGAGAAGGUAUUGGUAGGAGCAACAUGACUACAGCUAAGGAAAGAUAACAAUAUUAAACAAUAUACAUUUUAGAUAUCGAUUGCAAACAGGGUUUGGUUUUUGGUUGAAAGCAAGGUCAUUUCAGG